rnacentral:rRNA from 1 species
UACGUAGGGGGCAAGCGUUGUCCGGAAUUAUUGGGCGUAAAGCGCGCGCAGGCGGUCAUUUAAGUCUGGUGUUUAAGGCCAAGGCUCAACCUUGGUUCGCACUGGAAACUGGGUGACUUGAGUGCAGAAGAGGAGAGUGGAAUUCCACGUGUAGCGGUGAAAUGCGUAGAUAUGUGGAGGAACACCAGUGGCGAAGGCGACUCUCUGGGCUGUAACUGACGCUGAGGCGCGAAAGCGUGGGGAGCAAACA